rnacentral:rRNA from 1 species
AUUGAACGCUGGCGGCAGGCUUAACACAUGCAAGUCGAACGAGUGGCGGACGGGUGAGUAAUGCAUGGGCAUCUCGCUUAUGGAGGGGGAUAACUACGGGAAACUGUAGCUAAUACCGCGUACCAUAGGAUGAGCCCAUGUGGGAUUAGGUAGUUGGGGAGGUAAAGGCUCACCAAGCCGACGAUCCCUAGCUGGUCUGAGAGGAUGACCAGCCACACUGGGACUGAGACACGGCCCAGACUCCUACGGGAGGCAGCAGUGGGGAAUAUUGGGCAAUGGGGGCAAGCUGAGGCAGCCAUGCCGCGUGAAUGAAGAAGGCCUUCGGGUUGUAAAGUUCUUUCGGUAGGGAGGCGUUAACAACAGAAUAAGCACCGGCUAACUCCGUGCCAGCAGCCGCGGUAAUAC